rnacentral:lncRNA from 1 species
GUUUUUCAUUGAAUUUGAACCUAGAAACAUCACAUAUACACAACAACGAACUAACCUCCACACUCGUGAGUCAUUUAUUGUCUGAGUGUGGAGUAUUUUGCAAAAAAUCAGAAGAACAAGUUAACCUAAAAUAAAAAUUAAAUGAAGGAUAAUGGAAAAUCAGUACUCAAACCAUAGGGUUAAUGACUAGUGGAUGAUUUCUAGUUAAUUGAUAACUUAUUUGAGUGAAGGGUGUGAGGGUAG